GCUGGGCAUGGUGGCACACGCCUGUAAUCCCAGUGGCUUGGGAGGCUGAGGCAGGAGGAUUGCAAGUUCAAAGCCAGCCUCUGCAAAUUUGUGAGACCUUAAGCAAAUUAGCAAGACCCUGUCUCAA
rnacentral:sRNA from 1 species